UUUCACAACACCUUGAAUACCAACAUCUAGCUGAGUAGAAAUAACAUGAAGAGAAGCUCUAAGACCAGAAAGUUCUAGAUGAAAGGUUUCAGGUUUUGACAAAUUGUUCCUCACAGACAAGGCAGGACUUGUUUGAAUGAUACAUUUUUCUUUUCUUUGACUUAAAGUCAUUUGACUGAGAUAGUGCUUCUCUCAUUGAACUCUGAAAACAAGAAACAGGCUGCCUUAGCAACAGUCUGCUGAAAUGGCUUUCUCUGAGUUAUAAGACAGAUCUCAUUGUGUGAACAGCAGGCCCAGCUGUCUUACUGUCAGGAAGAUUAUUCCACCACAGGAUUUGGAGACCGGGGGUGGUGAUGACCAGCCUGGUGCAAGGACAUUGGAGCCAAGCAGCCAGUCGUGACAGAAUGCGGGAGCAUGGACUUGUGUGUCUACCCAUGGCCUGGAGAUGCUGUGGGUCACCUGCCAUGGAGUUUCUUCUUUGGGGUUCAGCAAGGAAGCAAGGGAGUUGCAAUCCGCAACCACACCAAAAAACAAAUAUUAUCUGAAAGCAUACAAACCACAGCAAUUUACAGAUCAUUAAUUUGGUUUAGCUUUACAGUCAUAGGUUCACAGUUAAAUGUAAUCUGCUUCUCCAACUUUGUGUCUUUGGACUGAAGUUGCUGUUUUGAUUGUGCAGUCAUUGGUGGAUAAGCAUUGCACCAGGGUUUUUGGUCAAAAUACAGUAAUUAUUUGUUAAUUCAGUCUAUCCGGUGCUUCAUUUGCAAGUCUGCUGCCUCAGCUGUUAAACUGACCUCUUUCAUUAGCAUUUAAUAGGGUUGAACCACACAGUUGCUGCAUUGUACUGGAGGGAGAAGCACUGUUGGGUCUAAAAUUAUAAUUUUUGCAACAGUGAAUCAAGAUGGGGCGGGAUAAUUUUGGAGUAAGUGAUCUUUAACAGGUCACUUUUAUGCAUAAAAGUAAGUUAAUUGAAAGGAUUAAGAGCACAUGGUGCUGUCUCAAUCUCACCUCUGGAUGUCUGGUUUAAUGUUGGUGGGAUCAAGCCAUUUCAGAGAGUGAUGCCUUGUCAGUUUGUGUAGCUGAUUGUGCCCACUAGGGCUUGUGUACAAGCUUGGUGAGGUGUAUACUGCAUGUAUCUAUUCUACACAUUGCAUUAUCAAUUAUCUUAUCCAUUGUGUCACAAUAUCCAUUCUGAGUGCCAGUUAGCUGUUAAAAAAGGCUGGCAAUAUUUUGUAUUUUUGUUAUGCUUAACAAAUCCCAUGAAAAUGUACUAAUCCAUCUCUCAACACUGUCCCACUUUUCCCAGCCCAUUCAUUUCUACUGGAAACAAUGUAUGUCAUUAAGAUAUCUUUAGAAACAGUUCAUGCUACAUGCCUUCAUUUUAAAUCAAAAUAAUUCCUUAAAGAACUAGGAAGUGUAGUUGCUAGCAGCGUAACUAAAACACGAGUAAACAGUACCAGUGCCAGGGAUUAUUUUCAGCUGUGAAUUUGGUGCUCUAUUGUGUAUAUACAGCAGCAGGAUGGUGUAUAUGGGACUGGCACAAAAUAAUCUAUAAAGCCCAUGCAUAUUAUAAUAAAGGAGAAUGUCUCCCAGUGCAUCAGU